CUGUAUUAGAAACAUAGAGUUGCAUCAGAUGAUAUGAAUCUGAUCAGGGAGUGCAACUCAAUGCUGGUUGCAAUUACUGUAUGGCUGUCCACCUCUGGUUGUCCCAUACUCCUAGGGUGUAGACUUCUAGGAUUCCCACUGAGAUCCUGAAGUAUUUGCUAGAAUCCCUCUUCACUGAUAUUCCCAGGCUCUAAUUUCCAUAUCUUUAUCAUGGUCUGUUUAGUCAGUAGAGAAUAAAAAUACACUAAGCUUUUUUUUUUUAAAAAAAAAUGCUUUUACCCUUGGGAGUGUCAUGAUCAGGACUAUAUAUGGAGGAGAUUUAGGGAGCUCAAAUAGGAGGUUAUAGUAAUAGUCUGGAUAUGAGUUAAUGAAGGCUGCUGAUACAGGAAGUUGGAAACAGGAAUGUACAUGAAGAGACAGAUACAGAACCUCUUAUGGAAGAAGAGAGGGAGGGGAUUAUUUACAAGAAGAAAAGUGGGGCUUUUGCUUUAUCCCCUAGUCCCAACACACUCACUGCGGACCAAUUAUUUUCACACACUAACAAGCGUAACCCUGGAACAUGAGGAUGUUGACAUGACCUGUAUACAGUUAUGAGACUGCUCCUGCCGAAGGGAACUCCCUAAACAGAGAAACAACGACCAGAAUAGUUCACGAAAAGCCUGGGCUGUUGGAAGUUAGGCCUUCUCUGGAAUUGCUCCCCGGAUACUGACGGCUCCAACGUUUCCAGUGUGCUGUGGUUGGAUCAGACAUUCUUCUCCAAGCCAAGAUUGCUUCCAACAGCUGGAGGAAGAGCCCCUCCUGUCCUCUCCACCUCCUCAGCUUCAUUUCUCACUGGAGACCAUCCGAAAGGGGAGUUUAAAAUUACUAACUGUCUUUUGGGUAAAUAGCAUUUACUUUUCCAGACUGAACUGCCAAAGACCUUAAGAAAAUUAAAGAAAGAAGAGAAAAACUGAGUUGCCAUGUCUGGUAAAUAGUGUUUCUCUAAUUAGGUGGCUGCAUGGUUAUUAACUAGAGCAGUUGUAUAUCCUGACGUAUGAUUUAUUUACCUUGGCACACACAGAUAGGGUGCUGAGCAACAGAGCCAAAUACGGUGACAGGGUGAGGAAAAUGAGAGGAUGCAAAACCAUGGUGAGGACUGAGUUCUGUACAUCUUACAGAAUUGGUUUUCCCAGAGGAGGGAAACAGGAAUAUUAUC
rnacentral:lncRNA from 1 species